rnacentral:rRNA from 1 species
GUGACCUACUCUCACAUGGGGAUACCCCACACUACCAUUGGCGUAACAGCAUUUCACUUCUGAGUUCGGUAUGGAUUCAGGUGG